GACAAGGAUCUUACAGCUCAAUUGCAAGCUGUUCAGAUCAGCCACCAUAAAAAAAGAGAAAGAAUAGGAACAGUGCAGCUGAUGGUCCUGCCCCACAAUAUGAGACCCUGAGGACAGGACCUGAAGAAUAUGAGUUAGUUAUCCAAGAAACCUGAGAAUAGCUCUAGUAUUGGAGCUUGUAGAAGAAAAAGGUGGGAAUGAGGGACUCUAAGGGCUUUUUCCAGUCCCACACCUUCAUUAUAUCUUCCCCCUCCAGCCUGGGAUCAAGGCUAGGCCAAGUUCCAUUGUCCAUCCACAGGAUCAUUCUUGAGUGAAAAAUUCUCAGAAAGUACUGAUAGUUACCUAACUCUCUGCAAAGUUCCAGGUAGAGUUCAAAGGCAUGUCAUGCUUGCUAGCCAAUAGAUUUAAAGGUCAAUAUGCUUAGGCAAUAAGUUUGAACUGUAUCCUUGCAGAUGUGACCUGUGGCCCUAAAAAGUAUAAAAGUCAUUUGCCUCAAGGGACUGAUUAAGGGUUGACCCUGACAUUCCAGAAAAUAAAUCUUGCUUUUGCAAAAAAAAAAAAAAAAAAAAAAAAAAAAAUGUAAUGCUAUUCCCAGAUUCCUGAGGAACCACAACCCAGACUCCCAUAGUGAUUGCGUAAGUUGACACUCCAAACAACAAUGAAUGAAUGUUCCCUUUAGCCUGUAUCCUAGUCAGCGUGUACUGUCAUUUUCGAUUCUUGUGAGAUUUGGAUAUAUCCUAUCUCUGAUUCAUUCUGUCAAAUCUUCUUCUGAAUCCUUACUUUGUCUGCCCCUCAAUUAGAUUCCAUUAUUUAAAAUUAAAAGUGAAUACUAAAGGCAUGUCUGCAUAGAUCACAUAGACUUGGAUUUUGGGAUUUGAUCCCUAGCCAGAGUAGACAUGUUGCUGGAUUAAAAUUUUUCUACAUUGCUUAGUUUUGUUUUAUCAUGGAUUUUUGUUGUUGUUGUGUUGUUGUUGUUGACAAUUUUGACUUAUAUUUUGGCUGAAUACAGUAGUCUACGUUAGCACCUGUGAUGUCUCAGACUUUGUAAAGUAUCUACCCAGGUCCUUUUGGUUUUCAGAGUGUCCAAAUGAGAAGAAGACAAAUUUUAGGCGCAUGGGCUUCUCUUUACAUGUUACUUGAUUUUUUUCCUUACAAAUUUUAAGAUUCUUUCUUAGUUUUGUAGGGUUUUUUUUUGUUUGUUUGUUUUUUGCUUUUUAAUUUCCUGUGUAAAAUUUCUUGUCUGGUCCUGUAUAUUUGUCGUUCUAAAAAUUUGAUUUUUAAAUAAAAUACUUUUGUGCGCUCCACAUGGAUUUUGUUUCUUUCCAUUAUUCCUAUUAGUUGUAGAAUUUUUCUUUUUAUGAUGUCUCAUAUUUCCUGGCUGUUUUGUACCUAGAGGGCUACUUGUUUGUAUUUGUCUGUUUAUUUUUUUCUUUGCUUUUUAGAUUUAGCAUUUUUUUUUUUACUGAAGUAUCUAUUUUACUUUCUUUCAAUACUGAAAUUUUCUCUUCUACUUCUUUAGUCUGUUGGUAUAGCUUGAAAUUUUUGGCUGAAUUCCUAAUUUUUUCUAGUUUUAUUUCAAAUUGAUUUUAUCUAGUGAUUUUAUUUCUUUUAAAUUCUACUAUCAUGUAUUACAUUAUUUUAUUAUUUCAUUCAAUUGUUUCUUUGUGUUUCAGUCUUCACUAAGAGUUGUAGUCAUAUCCACCUUUAAUGUCUUUGAACUUAUUUGUAAUUGUAGUUCAGUCCUUGUCUUGUGAUUCAGCUACAUUGUAUUUCUUAAGGUCAAGGGUAAAAUGGUUAUUUGAUUCUGGUAAAGGCAUAUUAUCUUGACUGUUCAGUUUUGUGCUUUUGUUCUGUAGUCCAGAAAUCUGGAGUUUUUAUAAAUGCAUUUAUUGUAGGUGUUAAGAUCAGGGUUUGUUCUUGUUGGGUGGAUUUGUUAUUUAUGAUUGCCAUCUCUGUAUCUGAGGAAGCAUGAUGAGUGAGCAGCCACUAGUAGGGAGUACUUCCACAGGUACUUUGUCACAGAAAGAAAUAGAAAUGGGCUAGGAGGAAAGUUUGAUAGGGGUUGUAUAGGAAAGAACUAAAUAGAAUGGUUACACACCAAGAACCAAAGUUCUCAGGGAGUAGAGGAGUUGUGGAAAGAGAGUUCAAGUAGGCUCUAGCAAGACAAAAAAGGAAGUCAGGAGAGAUAAAGAUGGAAUAGCUAAGGAAACUCUGGAUCCUCAUCAAAAUGAUGGGAUGAAGGAAGGUAUGGGUGGAGGGGCUUCUGCAAAAAGACUGCUAGAAAAAUGAGCAUGAGAGUGGAAAGAUCAAAAUGAAAAGGUGGAAACAUAUUGAAAAUCAUGUAGCUGAGUCCAAUUCUGGAAUUAAGAAUCACUGGUAGAAAAUAUUUCUGAGAAUUUGCCUCUGACAGUACGAAUGGAGUUGGGCCAGAAGUGAAGGCUGAGAAGUUUAGGACAGAAGAACAAAUCCAGGACUACAUCAUGAUACAGAGUCCCUGUCAAUUCUUCUUCUUUAUAAAAAGUACUCUGAGACUGAAUUAUUGGGCAGAUUUAAUUCCUUCUGUCACUUGAGUCAGGUGGACCAUCCAGCAUUUACACUUCUUAUUGAUCCUGAGAAUCAUAAGCCUGGUGACUAAGGUGUGAACCAUGAACUAGAAUCAUGGUUAUGGAAUGCAUACGUAAAUAAUUGAUAAAACCAAGGAGAAGUGCCAAAGCCAUAUCAUUUCAAACAUUUUCUUCAUAGCCAUUUCCUCGGUGGUUUUUUGUUUAUUUGGCUGUUUUUUUUUUUUUAUGUAUUUCUUAUCAUUUUAUAAAAUGUCACAUUAAUUCCUGGAAGCCUGGUAUAAUCAAGUAGUUUGGUGUUUGUCUCAGUUAUACUGAAGUUUAGAUUCACAGAUACAGUUUGGUACAGUGUGGAUUUUAUACCCCAAAUUCACUAGAAUCUUUGUUUACUUUGAUGUGACUAGGCACACGUUUUAUGCUUACCAAGGCCUAACCUGCAUUAUCUGUACUGACCUUUAUUUUUCCAUUGCAUCUUUAGUGAUUUGCCUCUAAAGUAGCUACCAAGUUUACAUAACACAAUGCGUUAUCUACUCCUGAUUUUAUGACCAAGCUCUCAGACAACUCAGAAACUCACAUCAAUUUAAAAGACUUCUACACUUUCAUUUUUUUAAUUUCAUUUAUGAGAUUAUAAUACGCUAUAACAUUUGUCCCAUAUGUUUCUUCCCCCAAAACCUACUCUGAGUUGGAGGCCAGAGCUCCUAUAGAGCAAGUUCCAGGAUAGCCAACACUAAGC
rnacentral:lncRNA from 1 species